AUUGAACGCUGGCGGCAGGCCUAACACAUGCAAGUCGAGCGGAUGAAGGUUGCUUUCUCCUGGUUUCAGCUUCGGACUGGUGUUUAUUGCCUAGGAAUCUUCCUGGUAUUGGUUUAUUACGUCCUGAAACGGUCGCUAAUACCGCAUACUCCCUGAUGUUGCUAUUUGGGUUUCUUCGGACCUCACGCUAUCAUAUGAUCCUAGUUCGGAUUAGAUAGUUGGUUGGGUAAAGGCCUACCAAGGCGACGAUCCGUAACUGGUCUGAGAGGAUGAUCAGUAACACGGGAACUGAGACACGGUCAAGAAUACUACGGGAGGGAGCAGUGGGGAAUAUUGGACAAUGGGCGAAAGCAUGAUCCAGCAAUGGCGAGUGUGUGAAGAAGGUCUUCGGAUUGGAAAGAACUUUAAGUUGGGAGGAAGGGAAGUAAGUUAAUACCUUGCUGUAUUGACGUUAACAACAGAAUAAGCACCGGCUAACUACGUG
rnacentral:rRNA from 1 species